rnacentral:rRNA from 1 species
UGCCAGCAGCCGCGGUAAUACGGAGGGUGCAAGCAUUAAUCGGAUUUAUUGGGUGUAAAGAGCGCGUAGGCGGAUAAGUUAGUCAGAUGUGAAAUUCCGAGGCUCAACCUCGGAGCUGCAUUUGAAACUGCUUGUCUUGAGGAUAGACGGGGAAAACGGAAUUCCACAUGUAGCGGUGAAAUGCGUAGAUAUGUGGAAGAACACCUGUGGCGAAAGCGGUUUUCUAGUUUAUUCCUGACGCUGAGGCGCGAAAGCAAGGGGAGCAAACAGGAUUAGAUA